GAUGAAGAACGUAGCGAAAUGCGAUAAGUAGUGUGAAUUGCAGAAUUCAGUGAAUCAUCGAAUCUUUGAACGCACAUUGCGCCCUUUGGUAUUCCUUAGGGCAUGCCUGUUCGAGCGUCAUUUAAACCUUCAAGCCCUGCUUGGUGUUGGGUGCCUGUCCCGCCUCCGCGCGUGGACUCACCUCAAAUCCAUUGGCGGCCCCCGCACGGCCACGAGCGCAGCAGAAACGCAAACUCGUGCCCCAACCGGGCGGCUCCCAGAAGCUACACUCACCAUUUUGACCUCGGAUCAGGUAGGGAUACCCGCUGAACUUAAGCAUAUCAAUAAGCGGAGGA
rnacentral:misc_RNA from 1 species